CGAGUAAGUCAGACAGUCGCGUGCACCGGUGCCGAAAGGCCGUGCAUGAGGAAAGUCCGGGCUCCGCAGGGCAGGAUUGUGGGUAACGCCCACCAAAGGCGACUUUAGGGACAGUGCAACAGAGAGAUACCGCCGGAGCAAUCCGGUAAGGGUGGAAAGGCGGGGUAAGAGCCCACCGGCGCCCAGGUGACUGGGCGGCCAUGCAAACCCAAUUCGGAGCAACACCGCAUCGAACGGUCCGGCUUUGCCGGACAGUGCUUGCCCGGCACAGGUUCAGGUAGGUGGCAAGAGCCGCUUGUCAACAGGCGGCCUCAGAUAGAUGACUGUCGAAUACAGAACCCGGCUUACAGACUUGGUCGCACA
rnacentral:RNase_P_RNA from 1 species